GGUUAAACAAGAGAGUUCCGUUACCUCUGGGUCCGUCACUAUUCUCCUAGUGUAGCGGAGGAGGGUGUAAACAGAGAAAGACACAGUGGGUCAUACAAGUGGAUGUCAUAAUACUGACGUCCAUGGAUACAAAACAAAAAUUGUUGGCGCCAUUAAGUCAGUUUCUGCGCCAACACUGCAAAGAAUUGUUAGGCCUUUUUUGGAAUUGAUUAAACGUUAUUUGACUUUUGGCAUCUAUAUUUAAUCGUCCCAUAUCUUAUUUCAUUUCAUUGCAUUUCAUUUUCAUUUCAUUUUAGUCGAAUACAAUAAGCAUCUACCUUAUUCUAUUAACAUGCACAUAAUCAGCACAUAAUUAUUUCGUAGGUUUUAUUUUAUUACUGUUAUUUUAUUUAAAAUAUUCAAUUAUACUGUCGUAAUGUUAGCUUUUUUAAUCGUUAUUAUAGGUUUUAUAUUUUAUUGUUGUUUUACUAUAUUAUAUUUAUUAUUACUGUUAUUACGUUAUGAAUCACGUAAAUUUCGUAGACGCCACUAGUCAAAUUUCGAAUAUGAAACUAAUGAAAUUAUAUAUUUGGCAACUGGAGCCUUUCGACGUUUGCACCUUUAUCCUCCUUGACGGGCUGAUUUGAUGAACGCCAUCACGUCUUUGAGCAUCCAAGCAUCAACCAUAGUAAGAACUAACAUGUAUUGAAAUCAAGAGGAGACUUAUAUAAUACAUUUUUGGUUAUGUGAUGUUGCAUCCAUUUCUACUAACACACAGGUGUAGACAUUAGGCUUUAUUUUUUUCAGGGCAACGAAGCUUAUAAUAAUUAUGGUGGAGAUCUUGUUGAUACUAUGCAAUGUUAAUACUUUAUAGGAAACUAGAUUGCAUAUUUGGAAACAAGGUUUAAUGAUUAACGUAUCAUAAUUUGCGAUGAUAGGCCUAAUAUAUGUGAACCAUGGAUUCCAUGGCUAAAUUUCAGUAGGCAUUCAAAUCUCCAUGCUAGUCCACUGUCACUAGAUGCUGAUAAUCUGACAACAUUAGAUCAUAUAUCCAGCAAAAUUUUGACAUCAAUUUAUCAUAUUAAACAGCAUCAACUAGACUAUUUAUGAAUGUAUGUAUUAUGAAAAAAUUGAACUAACACUUAGGCCGAUAUAAAACAGUUGUUAUUUAAUUAUGUUGAUUAUAUGCAAAUGUGACGAGACCACAGGUAAGUUACUAACGCAGCAAGACAUCGGUUCGAGAAUCCAAGCAUCAAACCAAGUAAGUCAACUAAUCACUAUAGGAUUGUUUGUGUAGAAAAAACAAUCGUACUAAUGCCCAUCUUGUAAACCACUUUAUAUAAAAUCGUAGUAUUUUUAUUUAUUUUUUUAUUCGUGCCGAUAGUGGGUUAGGUCAGUAUUUGAUGAUGGUAGCAGGUGCUCCCUCAAUGCGUCUUCAUUUGUAUACCUAUGAAAUUGUUGCAAUAAAUCUUUACAAACAAAUGUGUCUUUGUCUCUUUUUGUCCGUCUAUUUUUUUAAUCACAUCAUGAUGGUAAGCCCCUAUACCAUAUAUUGUAUCCCUAUGAAUUUGUUUCAAUAAAUUCGUACAAUAGAACAUGCGUUUAUGACUCGUUUAUUUAACAUCUUCAGAAGUGUUUUUGUCUGAGUCUGUUAUGAAUUGUAAUUUUGUAAAUGUAAAACAAUAGUAAAUGGAAUUCAUUUACUAUUGUUAAAUUUCAGUGUAUGUAAAUCCAAGAUGUACAAUAACUAAUAGCAUGUCUUUGAUUUCAGGAAUAUUAUUAGUUUUGUUGUCCAGAGACAGUAGCAAGGCGACGAAUACCUUGUGCAUCACAGGUUUUUGUCGCCUAUGCAUGUGUGCGGAAUAAAUAAAUAUAUACUGUACGUUCAAUACUUAUAACUUUGAAGUUCAUUUCAUUUCAGGAAAAAAAAAUCUGGUGAUUUUGAUAAUGAUGAAUGAGGAAAUAUGCUAAUAUACUGAUUGGAUGGUGGUACUUCUGCCGAUGACUAAUUGUCGACGUGGAAUGAGAAAAAAUAUUAAUGAUGAUUGUGAUGAUGACGGUAGCAAUGAAAAUUUAAUAGUGACGAUUAAUACAGAUUUUAGAGUUGCGUGGUUAGUUUAUUUGAGUUUCUGUGAGUUGCGAUUUAAGCUGACUUUGUUAUUACAAUAUACUAUGACAAAUGAUGGUGAUGAAUGACAGUGAUGACGAUUAACGAUAAUGAAAUAGUGUAUUAAAAGUUGCAAAGGUAAGUUGUGAGAUAAUGUUUGAAUGUCUGAAAGUUUCAAAGGCGACUUUGUGGGGUUGUGAAAUGACGUGAUGUGAAACUCGGGCCAUAUCUAUUGUGUUUUCAUUUUGAUAAUGCAUGUGAAUUUCCGAAUAAAUCAAAUCAAUUUGCUAUUUGGAGUAGUGCUUCUUCUGAUGGAGAACUGAUAGAUAUAAGUGCUCAUGGGGACAACGAUAAUGAGGAUUACGAGGAUGAUGUAAUGAUGGCGAUAUAGAUGAUACAGUGAUAACAAGGAUGGUGAAGUGGUAGACCUGUGCUUGAAAAAUAGGUAAGUUUCAAUGCAUUGGGGCUUGUGAAAUAAUGUGAAAUUAACCUAUAGUAAUGCAUGGAUGGUUAGCUUACUUGCUGUGACUGCUAUUUAGUUGAAAUUCUGUCAUGUUUACAUUAGCGGAUCCAGGGUAUUUUGGCCGGUGUGGGAGCAGGAGAGGCGAUUGAAUACAAUUUCCAUCACAACUCAGUAAUCCCUGCAAUAUUAGUUUUAAACUUUUAGCAUCUUGUAUUUUUUAAAUUUAAGCAAUUUCUCUUUGUGCAACAUGUGUUUUUUAAUUAAAUUUUCUAUAUAUUUUUCUAGUAAUAUGGGUGUAUUUAAGGAACCAUAUCUCAUAGCUGUGUUUUAAUGGUUUUAUCGUAUCGUAUUGAAACCUAUUGUCAGAGGAGAAUGCUCCCUUACCAAUUCUGUGGGUCCAGGGCCAUAUUAAUCUAAAUUUCAAUUUAGAAACUUGAUUACGAUCUUUAGAUAUCCAGGGAGUGUUGCAGGCGGGCUGAACAUCCUUUUUCACUAAGUGUGUUUAACAUUAUUGAAUUGAAUUUAUUUGCUAUAGAACAACAUGAUUCAUGUUAACAUGAGUUAUUAAUUAUUUACGUAGUAGUCGAUACCCAAGGCAUUAAAUGCUUCUGGACUGUCCUCCGACCUGACUGGAAUGUAGUGUGAUCGAUUUAAAAACAAGGAAAUAUGUGGACGUCGAUGGUUAAUAAUGAUGGUAUGGUAAUGGACGGCUAUGAUAUUAAUAGCCAACGUUGAUGAUGCUAAGAAAGAAACCUGGUGAUUUUGAUAAUGAUGCUUGUGGAUACGUUUUUCUGCGAAUGGAUAAUUUAUCGACUUGAAUUGAAAACAAAAUUAGCAGUGACGAUGAUGUUAUGGUGAUGAUGAUGAUUGUGAUGAUGAUGGUGUUAGCGAUAUAUACUAUGUCCUUUUCAUAUCUACAUGAAAGGAAUAUUGAACGAAUACGAUGAUAUAAUUCAUGAUGAUAAUGAGAAUGUUGUGCUGAUAAAGAUGAUGUUAAACAAACGACGAUGAUAAUUUUACGGUACUUGAUUACUAGUAUUAGACUCUUGGAAGCUUUACUUUUGCUAUAUAUCCUCCUAUCUUGAAUCCAAAUAUGGACUGCAAAGUUUGGGUGGUUCCUGAGAGCUUUUGUGAGUUAAAAGACUUUGCUAUUAAUUACAACUUAAUAAAAUGGCAGAUGACGGUGAUGAUUAAAAAGACAGCGAUGACGAUUAACCGAUAACGAAAUGAUGUAACUGAACUUGCAAAUGUAUAUAAUUUGUCAGAUGUUUGAAUGCCUGAAAGUUGAGCUUGUUUAAAUUGUGAAAUGACAAUAGGGCUAUUGGGCUAUGCAUAGGCCUAUAAAUUUUACAACAUUAAAUUUUUGUUUUCAUUUCAGAAAAGAAAUAAUAAUAAUAGUAAUGAAUGCGAUUUUCAGACUAAAUUGUUCAUCGCGUUUCUUUUGAUGGUGAAUAUCAAGGACGAUGAUAACAAACUCACUCGCCCCUCUUAACUCAGGUUCUCGGUUACCGACAGAAUUUCAUCUAAACAGUAGUCACAUUAAAUACGUGAACCAUAACGAAUAUGAUCUUAUAUUGAUGGCGAUAUAAUGUUCUUGGUGACGAUGAAAUGGUAGACCAGCUUGCAAAGGUUUACGCAGUACAUAUUUGUAAACACAGUGCAACAGAAGUGGUUGAUAUGCAAGCCCUUGAAUUCUUGUGAACUGUCGCCGACUUCAACAUACUGUAUGAGAUCGAUUUAAAAGGAAUCUACUGGUGGACAUUGGUGGAUUAAAUGUUGAUUCUACUAAAGGAAUUCGGAGCUGUGAAGCUAAUACCAACACUGACCCAGGAAGCAAAUUUUUUCAGCAGAAUGACAUCUGUUCAGAUGGAAUGAGCCAAUCUGGUCGAUUUAAUUUAGAGAUGCCGAGUAUUUUGGAACAUAGAACGUACAAUUAGAUAUUAUGGUGAAGACUAUCUGUCAUUGCAGUUGGUAAUAUUUAAUAUAUGCUAUAUAAUAAAAUUUAAAAAUAAUAAUAAUAAUAAUAUAAAAAUAACAAUAAUAUAAAAAAAUAA